rnacentral:sRNA from 1 species
AGCGGCCCGGGGCCGAGCAGGGGCUAGGCGGGGAGGGAGCGGCGCCCAGCGGGGCCCGGAGCGUGGCCAGCCCGUGGCCGCACAGCGCCCGACAAACAGCAGCCCUGGGUCUACGUCCGCUGCGGGCACGUCCACGGCUACCACGGCUGGGGCUGCCGGCGGGAGCGGGGCCCCCAGGAGCGCGAAUGUCCUCUCUGCCGCCUUGUGGGGCCUUAUGUGCCUCUAUGGCUUGGCCAGGAGGCCGGCCUCUGCCUGGACCCUGGGCCGCCUAGCCAUGCCUUUGCACCUU